rnacentral:rRNA from 1 species
AGAUAAUAGAUACCCUGGUAGUCCAUGCCGUAAACGUUGGGCACUAGGUGUGGGGGACAUUCCACGUUUUCCGCGCCGUAGCUAAACGCAUUAAGUGCCCCGCCUGGGGAGUACGGCCGCAAGGCUAAAACUCAAAGGAAUUGACGGGGGCCCGCACAAGCGGCGGAGCAUGCGGAUUAAAUUCGAUGCAACGCGAAGAACCUUACCAAGGCUUGACAUGAACCGGACCGCUGCAGAAAUGUGGUUUCCCCUUUGGGGCUGGUUUACAGGUGGUGCAUGGUUGUCGUCAGCUCGUGUCGUGAGAUGUUGGGUUAAGUCCCGCAACGAGCGCAACCCUCGUUCUAUGUUGCCAGCACGUGAUGGUGGGGACUCAUAGGAGACUGCCGGGGUCAACUCGGAGGAAGGUGGGGACGACGUCAAAUCAUCAUGCCCCUUAUGUCUUGGGCUUCACGCAUGCUACAAUGGCCGGUACAAAGGGUUGCGAUACUGUGAGGUGGAGCUAAUCCCAAAAAGCCGGUCUCAGUUCGGAUU